rnacentral:tRNA from 1 species
UCGACCUUAGCUCAGUUGGUAGAGCGGAGGACUGUAGAUCCUUAGGUCGCUGGUUCGAAUCCGGCAAGUCGGA